CGUUCCCGGGCCUUGCACACACCGCCCGUCAAGCCACUGGAAGCUGGAAGUGCCUGAAGGUGCGUAACCGCAAGGAGCGUCCUAGGUAAAGUCGGUAACUGGGCU
rnacentral:rRNA from 1 species